GUCAUUUCUUCUGCAUCAAAUGGUGUCACGAACAGGAUUUCAAUACAGCUAGAGGCACAACACUGGACAAACCCUGAUUCAGGGAGACAGAGUUGAGUCCAAACCAUAAAGGGACAAAAAGACUCGAGGACACCAACAUUUGAUCUGUUGCACCUGUUACAUGUUUGUUUUUGACUACCUACAACAACCUACGCU